rnacentral:rRNA from 1 species
UGCAAGUCGAGCGCCCCGCAAGGGGAGCGGCAGACGGGUGAGUAACGCGUGGGAAUCUACCCUUUUCUACGGAAUAACGCAGGGAAACUUGUGCUAAUACCGUAUACGCCCUUCGGGGGAAAGAUUUAUCGGGAAAGGAUGAGCCCGCGUUGGAUUAGCUAGUUGGUGGGGUAAAGGCCUACCAAGGCGACGAUCCAUAGCUGGUCUGAGAGGAUGAUCAGCCACAUUGGGACUGAGACACGGCCCAAACUCCUACGGGAGGCAGCAGUGGGGAAUAUUGGACAAUGGGCGCAAGCCUGAUCCAGCCAUGCCGCGUGAGUGAUGAAGGCCCUAGGGUUGUAAAGCUCUUUCACCGGUGAAGAUAAUGACGGUAACCGGAGAAGAAGCCCCGGCUAACUUCGUGCCAGCAGCCGCGGUAAUACGAAGGGGGCUAGCGUUGUUCGGAAUUACUGGGCGUAAAGCGCACGUAGGCGGACAUUUAAGUCAGGGGUGAAAUCCCGGGGCUCAACCCCGGAACUGCCUUUGAUACUGGGUGUCUAGAGUAUGGAAGAGGUGAGUGGAAUUCCGAGUGUAGAGGUGAAAUUCGUAGAUAUUCGGAGGAACACCAGUGGCGAAGGCGGCUCACUGGUCCAUUACUGACGCUGAGGUGCGAAAGCGUG